GGUUCUGUGGUCUAGCGGAUGAUUUUCGCUUAGGGUGCGAGAGGUCCCGGGUUCAAUCCCCGGCAGAGCCC
rnacentral:tRNA from 1 species